UCCGUAGGUGAACCUGCGGAAGGAUCAUUACGUAUUUUUAGGCCGGUCUGACCGGUUCUAUUCAACCCUGUUUUUGCGUACUUUCUUGUUUCCUCGGUAGGCUUGCCUGCCGUUAGGACAUUUUUAACCAUUCAUGUUUUGUACUUCAGCGUCAAAAAAACAAUACAAUUAUAACAACUUUCAACAACGGAUCUCUUGGUUCUGGCAUCGAUGAAGAACGCAGCGAAAUGCGAUAAGUAGUGUGAAUUGCAGAAUUCCGUGAAUCAUCGAAUCUUUGAACGCACAUUGCGCCUAUUGGUAUUCCAAUAGGCAUGCCUGUUCGAGCGUCAUUUAAACCUUCAAGCAUUGCUUGGUGUUGGGCCUUGUUCCGCUUUGUGCGAACUCGCCCUGAAUACAUUGGCAACCAGCAAUUGGGUGUUGGAGCGCAGCACAUUUUGCGUUCCUAGCCAUAGUAGCCGGUGUCCAGAAAGCUUAUUUUAACGUUUUGACCUCGGAUCAGGUAGGGAUACCCGCUGAACUUAAGCAUAUCAAUAAGCGGAGGAAAAGAAACCAACAGGGAUUGCCUUAGUAACGGCGAGUGAAGCGGCAUCAGCUCAAAUUUGAAAUCUGGCUCUUUUAGAGUCCGAGUUGUAAUUUGUAGAGGGCGCUUUGGCGUUUACAGCGGUCUAAGUUCCUUGGAACAGGACGUCACAGAGGGUGAGAAUCCCGUACGUGGUCGCUAGUAUCCGCCGUGUAAAGCCCCUUCGACGAGUCGAGUUGUUUGGGAAUGCAGCUCUAAUUGGGAGGUAAAUUUCUUCUAAAGCUAAAUACUGGCCAGAGACCGAUAGCGCACAAGUAGAGUGAUCGAAAGAUGAAAAGCACUUUGGAAAGAGAGUCAAACAGCACGUGAAAUUGUUGAAAGGGAAGCGCUUGCAGCCAGACUUGCCUGUAGUUGCUCAUCCGAGCUUUUGCCCGGUGCACUCUUCUGCGGGCAGGCCAGCAUCAGUUUGGGCGGUUGGAUAAAGGUCUCUGUCACGUACCUCCUUUCGGGGAGGCCUUAUAGGGGAGACGACAUGCAACCAGCCUGGACUGAGGUCUGCGCAUCUGCUAGGAUGCUGGCGUAAUGGCUGUAAGCGGCCCGUCUUGAAACACGGACCAAGGAGUCUAACAUCUAUGCGAGUGUUUGGGUGUCAAGCCCAAGCGCGCAAUGAAAGUGAACGGAGGUGGGAUCCCUUAAGGGUGCACCAUCGACCGAUCCUGAUGUCUUCGGAUGGAUUUGAGUAAGAGCAUGGCUGUUGGGACCCGAAAGAUGGUGAACUAUGCUUGAAUAGGGUGAAGCCAGAGGAAACUCUGGUGGAGGCUCGCAGCGGUUCUGACGUGCAAAUCGAUCGUCAAAUUUGG
rnacentral:misc_RNA from 1 species